rfam:Canis lupus familiaris chromosome X, whole genome shotgun sequence.
AGGAGGAACAACCACAGUGGCGGUGGCCAUCUCUGGAGCCCUGGAUUCAGCCCCCGCAGUAACUCCAGAGCUCUCCGUCUGCAGGGGCCUGGAGGCUCCAGGGCGGG